ACAUACCAGCAGGAAAGAACACUGGAGAGCUUCACUUGACAGAAUUAUUACAAACGCCUCUUCCUGGUUCAGGGGGAAAAAAAAUUCCAAAUAGGUUUGUGAUAUUUUUUUCCCUAGCAUGCUUGCAACUCCCAGUAGAGCCAAUAACCAGUUUUCAAAACCUUUUGAUUCUACUCAUCCCCUGGUUAAUAAUUUCCAGUUUACCCAGCAGGCUACGUAACAUCCCCUUUCCUGGGAAAGAAUUUCUGUGCCCCGGCUGGCAGUGAACUGGUCCCCUUAGCAGCUGACCUCCUCCUCCAGCCCUGUGGCUGCCUCCUCUCCAACAGGGACCCUCCUGAUGCACAGACUUACUCUUGGAGAGGCUCCUCCCAAAAGUCACCCAGCUGAUUUUCAUCCACUUGGCUCCCCAAGUUGCUGCUCGACCGCUCUCUGACCUGGAUUCACUGAGGACACAUCAGGCCUUUGCCACGGGCUCCAUGGAGUGGCCGGAGCCCAGGGCUGGGUGAGUGUGGGGUGGGUCUGAAGGGGAGGACGUGCAUCUAGAGGCCAGGCCAGCCCCUGCAGGAUUUUCUGAUGUCAAAUCGCCUGUCCUGUGCCCGAGCCCUAUCGCCUUAGCAGAAUGAGGACACGUGCCUCCCCUGGGCCUCCCCACCGUGGCCUGAGUGAGUGUCUCUCCGGCUGCAGUGUUUGCAGUCAGCAGGUCAAGAGGGGACCCUCCUGCCCUGCUCCCAUGGGGCUGCUGCUCCUUCUAGCAGUCCCAGCUUAACACCCACACUUCUUAUACUGGUCCCAGGGCCCUCUAUGGGUUAGGGUGUAGAAGGAGGUUGUGUUGGUUAAAAACACCAGGUGGAAAUCUCUUUUCUCUGAAUGCUGAUGGAGUGCUGUUAGGGAGACAGUUCUUUUCAGUCUAGUUGGAUCCUGGGUGAAGACUCAGGCCUCGCUCAAGAAGGGAGACCACCCAUAUGUGCUGUCACGUGUUUCCAGGGAGGAGGCUGGAAGUCCAAGAUCAAGGUCCUAGUAGGUUUGGCCUCUGGUGAGGGCUCUCUUCAUGGCCAGGAGCUUCUCCCACUCCUGGGCACAGAUGGGCCCUGUUAGACUGUUGCCUUGCUCCCAAUCAAUCAUGCCCCCUCCCACUGCCUCUGGGGUUGUGUCUGUGAUGUCCUCUUCCUGGGGACAAAUGCAGCUUCAGCUGCUAUAGGCUGGGACUGUGGCCCUCCCUGCACCAGUCCCAGGGCCCAGCUUCCCCAGGCCACUAGCGUUGCUCCAGGAACAGUGUCCAAGUCAGUCCCGACUGCUAAUAGAAUCCCACGGACUGAGUGGCUUCAGGAACAGGAAUUUAUUUCUCACAGUUCUGGAAGUCCAAGAUCAGGGUGCUGGCAGAUUUGGCUCCUGGUAAGGGCUCUCUUCAGGCUUGCAGACAGCUGCCUUCUUGCUGUAAC
rnacentral:lncRNA from 1 species